rnacentral:rRNA from 1 species
ACUCCUACGGGAGGCAGCAGUGGGGAAUAUUGCGCAAUGGACGAAAGUCUGACGCAGCGACGCCGCGUGGAGGAUGAAGGUUUCGGAUCGUAAACUCCUGUCAAGAGGGAAGAAACCUAUCAUGAAUAAUACUUAUGGUAAUUGACGGUACCUCUAGAGGAAGCACCGGCUAAUUCAGUGCCAGCAGCCGCGGUAAUACUGAAGGUGCAAGCGUUAAUCGGAAUCACUGGGCGUAAAGCGCUCGUAGGUGGCUUUGUAAGUCAGGUGUGAAAGCCCACGGCUCAACCGUGGAAUUGCACUUGAUACUGCAUCGCUAGAGUAUAGGAGAGGGAAGUGGAAUUUCUGGUGUAGGAGUGAAAUCCGUAGAGAUCAGAAGGAACACCCGUGGCGAAGGCGACUUCCUGGACUAUUACUGACACUGAGGAGCGAAAGCGUGGGAGCAAACAGGAUUAGAUACCCCUGGUAGACUGUCA